GCCACCUGUGCCAGGAGGAGGGCGGGGGUGAUGCACGUGAGAGGAAUGAACACAGGCAAGGAAAAGUUAGAGGAACAUACCAUACAGCCCUCUCCCAGCCGAGGAAGAGACGUGUCUAAGGCCCCUCUUGCUCCAACCUGCACACCCCAGCUGCACGCUCCGCGGGAAGGAAAACUUGCCCGGGAAGCCGGGAGAGCAGCAGGUAACUACAGCGUGCAAGGAAACUGAGGGAGGGGCUCUUGGCUUCUUAGAAGGCAGCAGCAGCUUCUGUGGAAGCGACCCCCUAAGAAGAUUGGAAACUCUGAAGAAUGGACCAUAUUACACACACUCACACAUCGUAAAAUGUAUACUUACUAAGGAGCAGUUUGGAGAGGUAACAUACAAGCACAAUAACAAAGACAAAACAAAGAAAAGUGCACACUGAAUUGAACAAAGGGACACUUCAACAUUGCUGUUGCAUGCCACUGCAUACACUUGAUGGAACAACAGAUAUGUUCUGGAUCUCCAUAAUGUAAAUAAAAUCAGUCUCUGUGACCAAAAAGACAGAACUAAUUUGUGAUGGUCAUUAUACACUUACUACAAUCCACUGUCACAUCAAGAACCAGGUGGUCCACCACUGUGAAACAGGACAUAAGAGGAACACAGCCAAUUUUUGAUGAAUCUCUGCUGAGAGGCAAGUAAAACAUUGGAUUUUAGUAAGAGUACUGGGAAUGAUUAUACCUUACAGCAAAUAGCAAAGAAGCUGGUAGCACUGGAAGUUUACUGGGCUGGUUAUCAAUGCAGUGAGUGGAUUAAGUGGCAAAGACAGAAACUAGAACUCCAUCUCUGGGAAUUUGCCAUCAACAUGCCUAUUUUACGAGUACUUUGACUGGUGCUGGGUACUGCACCUAGCAUGGAGCCAACAGUUGUGCACAAUGACCUGGUCAGCGAGGAUGGUGACCCCAGAAUCUAUCCUGGAAAUAGAUGGGAGCCAGUGAUUCUGGUGAUGAAACCAGUCCCUGAGAAGGUUUUGCUACAGGAGCAGUUGUAGCACAUCCUGGGGUCAUACUUAGAGGAGUUUUACGGUUGCCCUCCCCAACCCAUGGAAAAGUGGCCUUCUGCAGAAUCGGCAGCAGAAACUGAAGAAGCAGAAGUCACCUUGGAGUUGGGAUCUGUCUGCGCAGUUGUCUGCCCACCACUGGGAUUCAUGGGUGCACGAGUCCACCUGCAUAGAUCAGACUGCAGGAUCAGGGCCUUUGUCUGAGAGAAGUGCAGUUAAUCUUCCCUCAAAAUGUCCACCUCUACUCAGAACACUCUUCAGAGAGAUGACCUUUUAUGACUCCUCCAAUGCAGUCAGGGUGUUCCGGGUGUAUGAAGGCAGCAGUAGGCCUGAACAGGGUUGAACAUGGCAAGAAUCGAAGGAAACAGGAUCAGACUUUAACAGCAGCAGCAUCUCCUGCACAUCUCAACUAACUUCUCUUUUUUUCCAAAAGGACAGAUAUUCUAAUCCAAGAGACUGUCAGAUGAGGGGGCACUUUCUUAAAACUCUCUCCAGUUGAAGGGAGCAAGACAUAUUGUUAUA